rnacentral:lncRNA from 12 species
AUGGAUACAGCGCGAGCAGCUAGGACGCAUAUUAUCUGGACAUCGAUAGCUUUGGUCUUUAUUUUAAUCGCAUCGUGCUUGGCAUAUGUCUUCAUAUCGAAGGUGCCUGAAUGCCAAAGUAAGAACAUCGUGAAUGUCACUGAAUGUACAGAAAGUAUGUUCAGACAUCAAAUCUCUCAAGAACACUGGCUUCUAAAAGCUCAGAACUACAGUCAGGCAGAUCAUCGUUUGGUCUGGGAGGAUGAGUGGCUGGGAUACAGGGUUGAGAGAGAGCGUAUUCUGGACCAGACCAACAUGUGGAUGGUCAUUCGAGAGAAAGGUGUCUACCUGGUCUACAUACAAGCUAACUUCAUUCUUAGGACAGAGAAGAAUAGCAGCUCUACUGUAGAACUGAAAAUUAUAGUGGAUUUAAGUUAUGACGGGAAGAAGGAGAUGUUUUCAGCCGCACAUGACACUCAGGUGGUGAGUGACAACUCUCCAGAUGCAAAGCUCAACACGUUCCUUCUGAUGAAACUGCAAUCAACAAGCCAGUUAUCAGUGAGAGUUUUUCCAAGUCAUUUGGUGAACUACCAACCCAGACCCUUCUCCACUUUUAUCACUAUCAUAAAAUGGGCAGACAACUGGUAG